rnacentral:rRNA from 1 species
UGGUGGAGUGAUUUGUCUGGUUAAUUCCGUUAACGAACGAGACCUCGACCUGCUAAAUAGUCGCUCCAACCCCUCGGGGUUGGGCUGCAACUUCUUAGAGGGACUAUCGGUGUCUAGCCGAUGGAAGUUCGAGGCAAUAACA